AUCUAGCUGACGAGUGCCAAAUAAGACGAAACGUGCUUCAAACUUGAA
rfam:Schistosoma haematobium scaffold158_5, whole genome shotgun sequence.